AAGUCGUGACAAGGUUUCCGUAGGUGAACCUGCGGAAGGAUCAUUCUUGAAUAAUGUAGCAUAUGCUAUCAUUAACCCUGUGAACCGUUACUGUCAUUUGGCGAUCGCAAGGUCGUCAGGUGCAACCAAUUUUUAUUAACCACUUAUUCACUUAUUAUACCAGUAAUCAUAAUUUAUUAUGACAACUUUUAGCAAUGGAUCUCUAGGCUCUC
rnacentral:misc_RNA from 1 species